UGUCGUGAAGCUAAGUUGGUAAAGCGUCGCAGUAUUGCGGAGGUCGCGGGUUCGAAUCCCGCCACGGCAA
rnacentral:tRNA from 1 species